UGGGAACAAGACCAAUGCACAGUGAAUUCUUCAUAGCAUCAUCUUUGGGAUAACUCAGGAAUCAAAACUUCAUGCAAAAGAAAUUCUACUAAGGAAUCCCUUUACCUAAGCAUCUCACAAGGCUCCAACCAGAUUCCUGAAAAGGCCUCUUGGUACAUCAAGAUAGAACCUA
rnacentral:lncRNA from 1 species